rnacentral:tRNA from 2 species
GGGCUUUAGCUCAGUUGGCUAGAGUGCCUGUCUGGCAGACAGGAGGUCAGGGGUUCGAAUCCCCUAAGCUCC